UACGGAGGGGGCUAGCGUUGUUCGGAAUUACUGGGCGUAAAGCGCACGUAGGCGGCUUUGUAAGUUAGAGGUGAAAGCCCGGGGCUCAACUCCGGAACUGCCUUUAAGACUGCAUCGCUUGAAUCAUGGAGAGGUCAGUGGAAUUCCGAGUGUAGAGGUGAAAUUCGUAGAUAUUCGGAAGAACACCAGUGGCGAAGGCGGCUCACUGGACUGGUAUUGACGCUGAGGUGCGAAAGCGUGGGGAGCAAACAGG
rnacentral:rRNA from 1 species